GAGUUUGAUCCUGGCUCAGGACGAACGCUGGCGGCGUGCCUAACACAUGCAAGUCGAACGUGAUCUUCGGAGUAGUUUACUACACUGGAGUGAAAGUGGCGGACGGGUGAGUAACGCGUGGGUAACCUGGCCUAUGGAAGGGGAUAGCCUCGGGAAACCGGGAUUAAUACCGUAUGUAGUUGAGAUAUCGCAUGAUAUUUCAAUGAAAGAUUUAUCGCCAUAGGAUGGACCCGCGUCCCAUUAGCUAGUUGGUGAGAUAACAGCUCACCAAGGCGACGAUGGGUAGCCGGCCUGAGAGGGCGGACGGCCACACUGGGACUGAGACACGGCCCAGACUCCUACGGGAGGCAGCAGUGGGGAAUAUUGCGCAAUGGGGGCAACCCUGACGCAGCAACGCCGCGUGAAUGAAGAAGGUCUUCGGAUCGUAAAGUUCUGUCGAAGGGGAAGAAAUAAAUGACGGUACCCUUAGAGGAAGCCCCGGCUAGCUACGUGCCAGCAGCCGCGGUAAUACGUAGGGGGCAAGCGUUGUCCGGAUUUACUGGGCGUAAAGGGCGUGUAGGCGGUUUUUUAAGUCAGAUGUGAAAGUUCGGGGCUCAACCCCGGAAUUGCAUUUGAAACUGGAGAACUUGAGUACUGGAGAGGUAAGUGGAAUUCCUAGUGUAGCGGUGAAAUGCGUAGAUAUUAGGAGGAACACCAGUGGCGAAGGCGACUUACUGGACAGAUACUGACGCUGAGGCGCGAAAGCGUGGGGAGCGAACAGGAUUAGAUACCCUGGUAG
rnacentral:rRNA from 1 species